rnacentral:rRNA from 1 species
UACGUAGGGCGCAAGCGUUGUCCGGAAUUAUUGGGCGUAAAGAGCUCGUAGGCGGCCAGUUGCGUCUGCUGUGAAAUCCCGGGGCUCAACCCCGGGCUUGCAGUGGAUACGGGCUGGCUAGAGGCAGGCAGGGGAGAACGGAAUUCCCGGUGUAGCGGUGAAGUGCGCAGAUAUCGGGAGGAACACCGGUGGCGAAGGCGGUUCUCUGGGCCUGUACUGACGCUGAGGAGCGAAAGCGUGGGGAGCGAACAGG